AACGAACGCUGGCGGCAGGCUUAACACAUGCAAGUCGAACGCCCCGCAAGGGGAGUGGCAGACGGGUGAGUAACGCGUGGGAAUCUACCCAGUUCUACGGAACAACUGAGGGAAACUUCAGCUAAUACCGUAUACGCCCUACGGGGGAAAGAUUUAUCGGAAUUGGAUGAGCCCGCGUUGGAUUAGCUAGUUGGUGGGGGAAUGGCCUACCAAGGCGACGAUCCAUAGCUGGUCUGAGAGGAUGAUCAGCCACACUGGGACUGAGACCCGGCCCAGACGCCUACGGGAGGCAGCAGUGGGGAAUAUUGGACAAUUGGCGAAAGCCUGAUCCAGCCAUGCCGCGUGAGUGAUGAAGGCCCUAGGGUUGUAAAGCUCUUUCAGUGGGGAAGAUAAUGACGGUACCCACAGAAGAAGCCCCGGCUAACUUCGUGCCAGCCGCCGCGGUAAAAC
rnacentral:rRNA from 1 species